UGCUGAGAGGUCAGGAUGAUUGACCACUGCAUUUAGCAGCAUAGAAGUCACUGGCAAUAUUGAGGAGCAAUUCCAGUAGCAUGAGAGAGACAAAACCCUCAUUGGAAUAGAUUCAACAGAGAAUGAGAGGAGACAAAUUGGAGCCUGAAUGAGCAAGUGAAUGGUUUUAUAUAAUGAUGGGAGUCAAGUUUCCCACUGCUGAAGAAAAGAGCUACAAAACAGAAAGUGCAACAACCUAAGAGUACUACACAAGUCUGCAGAAGCUCUCUGAGUGAGCCAGGCACAUGGUGGUGACGCACCACACAAGCUCUGCAGUACCGCCCUCCCAACCCCACCCCAUCCUGUGUGCACCAUCCUCAGGUUAUGAAUAAGGCAGUGUUCUUGGCAAAUAUUUUGGAAUCCAUUCGGAAAGAGGGAAUGAUGAAAACUCCAGAAGAUAAGCUUUUCUUGCUUCAAUAUCUCUCCUGCUUUAAAUUGUUUGUUCAAUAAAAAA